AUUGAACGCUAGCGGGAUGCUUUACACAUGCAAGUCGAACGGCAGCGCGGACUUCGGUCUGGCUGCGAGUGGCGAACGGGUGAGUAAUGUAUCGGAACGUGCCCAGUAGCGGGGGAUAACUACGCGAAAGCGUAGCUAAUACCGCAUACGCCCUACUGGGGAAAGCAGGGGAUCGUUAGAACUUGCACUAUUGGAGGGGCCGAUAUCGGAUUAGCUAGUUUGUGAGGUAACGGCUCACUAAGGAGACGAUCCGUAGCUAGUGUGAGAGGACGACCGGCCACACUGGGACUGAGACACGGCCCAGACUCCUACGGGAGGCAGCAGUGGGGAAUUUUGGACAAUGGGGGCAACCCUGAUCCAGCCAGCCCGCGUGUGCGAUGAAGGCCUUGGGGUUGUAAAGCACUUUUGGCAGGAAAGAAACGUCGCGGGCUAAUACCCCGUGGAACUGACGGUACCUGCAGAAUAAGCACCGGCUAACUACGUG
rnacentral:rRNA from 1 species